UUUCAUGCGCCUCUUUAAUCACGUGGAAACAGCUUCCUCUCUCUAAUACCGAUCACGUCCUAAUUUUGAAUUAACUCUCCAAUAUUAGCCAGAUUCUUCAUAAUUUACAACAAAUUGUUUUUUUUUCUGUGAAUGUUUGUAGUGGAAAAAGUUUGUUUAGGCUAUGUUGUGAAGGGCAGGUCCACACACACACACACACACACACAUAGGCGGCGGCUGUUAUUGAUCACAGUGCGCGAAGCAGGAAUCCGAAGAAAUGUGGUGAUGCAGCAAGUGCAGUUGUGCUGGAUCAGCCGGUUUGUUCUCUGUUUACAUACAUUUGGGUUUACCUCAUGGCAGCCACAACAUGUUUCCUUCGAUCCUAGGACCUCAGAUUUCAAGAAAGUCACGGAGUGGCACGCUGCACCAUAA
rnacentral:lncRNA from 1 species